rnacentral:lncRNA from 1 species
ACAUUGUGCCUCACAACAGCGGCUGCCGAACAAUAUUGCUCGAGGCUGCCAUGCACACCAUGGACAGACUGUAACAUUGCUUUCACCGCACGCACCACCAAUGACCGUCGAACUAGAAAAAAUUGCAGGAUCAUUCUUCAUCUCAAAAGGGUGGAAAACCUUUGUUCACCGUACUGGCUUACUGUCUGGUCAAUACAUUCGCUUUCAAGUUCUUACUCCAUCAAAGAUAAAUGUCCUUCUCUUUGACAAGAAAAAAGAUAGCAAGCUGCCCAUGAUCCCUUCAUCCAAGAAACAAAUCAAGACAGCACCAAAGAGAUCGACAGGAAUCACUAUCAAUGACAUGCCUACCAGCAAGCAUGCUUCCAUGCUCAUUUCACACACAUCAAACAAAGAGACUUCGUCAGAUUCAAGGACAGAGUCGAUGACUGACAUUCCUUCCAGCUCCGACAAUUCAGGCGAAACCACACAUAGCUUCGACGAUCUCUGUUUUUGUGCAAGGAAUACAGCAGUCACACCUGACAUUAAAAACUACAUCAGCAUCAUCGGGCAGUUCCUCCAGCGUUCCAGCAAGUUCUAUAUUGUGACUAUGAACAAUACAUUCAUGAAGCAAGAUAGACUGGUUGAAGCAGCAGGCAGUGAUUCAGUCACCAUGCUCCUGCAUAAAUCAUCGGACGAUCGUUGCAACCUAAAGAGAGGAUGGGCAACUUUUGCAGCAACCAAUGCCAUUCAUCUCCAUUCAGUUUGCAUCUUUCACUUCUACAAGGCACCCAACGUCAAGAUAACAAUAGAUGUCCUUUAA